GGUCCCACUUUCUCUCUCCUACGUGGGUGUCUAUCUGAAGAGAAAGCUCUCUCCAUUUUUGUAGCAUGUUAAUUCUGCUUAAAAAAAUUCUACGUGGUUUGAAUGUACGUGCCUAUCUGAACUCUUGCCACUAAUCCCAAACUCUUCCUCUUACAACUGAACGUGGAGUCAUGAACUCUUGCAACUUAUUACAAACUCUUCCACGUACUUUUUUUCAAUUUCAAACUGAAAUCAAAAUCUAAUUAAUUAUCGUCUCUCCUCUUUUCGAAUCCUCCAAUCUCUCAAAGAUCCUCUAUCAUCUGUUAAUCUCUUUAUUCUAAUUCUGAAUCACUCUUGCACAAAUCAAAUAUAAUUCACUACGGUAUCUAUUAAUUGAGGUAAUCUUCUUUUCUAUAUUUUUUGUUGAAUGUAAUUUGUGGAUUUGUUGUUCAGUUAUACUGAUUAUAGGGAUCCCCUGAUUAUAUUCAUUUUUGUGCAUCUUCAUAUUACUAUAUUAGUUGUUAAUAAAUUUAUCAUAAUUUUGAAUAAAACCUAAUUUAGCCUAUAUUAGUUGUUCAAUUACUGAUUAUAUUCAUUGUUUUGUACAUCUUUUUAUUAGUUGCUAAUUUAACCUAAUUGUGAAUCAAAAUUCCAAAGUAUUGAGAAACAAUUAUCAUUGUAGUUGUAUUAUCACUCAAAAUUUGAGACUACUGUAUUCUGUAAGGUAACUCUUCCUGAAACCACCAUAGUUUUUUUUUUUUUUUUUUUUAAUGUAUCAUAGUUGUUUAUUAGAACUUUAGUAGGACUAUCAGCCACUAUAUGCUUAAAUUCCAACCUCUCAAUUCUUUUGAAAUUUUGUAGUUCUUCAAUCAUAAAGAGUCACAUGGAACGCUUCACUAGCUGCUGCUUAUAUGGGACGAUCCUACUUCAACAAGCAUCCCAGGUUAUGAAACGGUAAUUUACCAGCUCUUUCUGUAUCAAUGAUUCGGCUUUAUUCUAUUCUCGGAAGCAAAUGGAUGAAAGGUGUAUAAUUUUUUUACAUAGAACUCCUGAACAUCUUUAGGUUCAAUAUCUACAAUGAUAAUUAUUGACUAGAUUGCUUGCUACAUCAUUAAAGUGUUCUUUGAGUGUAAGUUUGUGAAUAAAGAUUCUGAUAUUCAUACUCAAAGUAGGUUUAUUGCCUCCAAGAAGCACUCUUCGGUGCAGGUGAUACUUACUCCCCUAUCUGCUGGAAAACAAAUUCCACUUAUUAGAUUGUGUACUUGAAAAGGUUAGAUUGGUAAUUUACAUGAGGCUUUCCUUUCAAAUUGGUCGACAAAAUGGACCCCCACUCACUACAAAUUGCUCUAUAUUUUUCUCGCUUUCUUCCAACUCUUGCUUUUCAGACAAGUAAUGAAUCUUACCGGAAAAAAAUGUUUGGAUCUUGAUCCAUUAUAAAUCUUAUUCAAAAGUCAGUCUAUAUAAUUCUAUAAUUCAAAUGGUAACACCAUUCAGUGUUAUGUUGUGACUGUUCUAUGCUUCCUCAAGCCUGAUAGAUGUAUGCUCUUGACUUAUUAACAUUGUAGGGUGCAUCAUUGAAUCCAUAUACGUAUACCUGAUAUAUGCACCUAGGCCAACCAAGGUUUGUUUUAAUCUCACUCUCUAGCUUUUGUCUUUGUUGGAUGUUUCUUGGCUCAUAAUUACUGUAGGUAUAAGUGUAUUUGUUGCUCCUCUUAUUAUUAUGUCUUUUAUUGCUCAAUGCACUUUUGACCCUAUCUUUUUUUUUUUUUUUUGGUCAAUAAAAGAAUUUUAUUAAUUGUGAGAGUAAUUUUCAUCUUCUUUUUUUCUUAAAUUAUUUUUUCGUUUAUACAAGUAGUAUAGGAUUGGACUACGGUCAGCAAAAAACUUCUUAUGUGACAUAUGUGUUGGCAUUUGUUUUGCAGAGGCAUGUAAUAACAACUAAGAGUGUGCAGGCAGUUCAAACCACUAUCUCUGUUCUUUUUCCUUACUCUUUGUUUAAUUCUGUGUUUCUAACAUGAUGUCUAAUAUCUCAUAAUCCCCUUAUUAGCUAUAUACUGGGUUGACCGGUUAAGAAUUGUAGAUCUUGCUUUCAUGGUGAUUUUUGCUCCCAAGUAUUAUGGCAUUUAAUGUUCGCAACUAUUGUUGUUAUACAUGAGACUUGAAGCGAUAUAUGUGAAUAAGACCAAAUAGUUUGUUGUUGUCUUUGAGGUGGCCUCUAUACCUAAUACAUCGGUUUACUUCUUUUUAUUUGCUUCAUGAGAAGAUUAUUCAUACUUGCGUCUUUUUUAACAUAAAUAUAGUUUCUCAUUGUU
rnacentral:lncRNA from 1 species